UACGGGGGGGGCAAGCGUUGUUCGGAAUUACUGGGCGUAAAGGGUUUGUAGGUGGCUUGCUAAGUCAGACGUGAAAUCCCUCAGCUUAACUGGGGAACUGCGUCUGAGACUGGGAAGCUUGAGUGCAGGAGAGGAACGCGGAAUUCCAGGUGUAGCGGUGAAAUGCGUAGAUAUCGGGAGGAACACCAGUGGCGAAGGCGACUACCUGGCCUGUUUCUUGACGCUGAGGCGCGAAAGCUAGGGGAGCAAACGGG
rnacentral:rRNA from 1 species